UGACAGAUUGAAAACUGUUAUGUAAGUAGUUUUAGAGAAGGUUGAGUAUCUUGUAUGAAGAUAAUUUCUAUUGUACCCUUUUUAAUUCUUCAUCAAAAUCCCAGUCAUUUUACUUAAAAUUCUUCAUCAAUUUUGAUGCCUCUAAGCAACUAUACUCUUAAUGAUCUACACUUCCUUAAAUGGGAACUAGAAGUUAUAAAGUCUGCUAUGUUCCCGAAAGCCACUUUUGGAAACAGAGGAUAUGCCAAAUCUCUCUCCGAAUGAAUCAAAUAGAACAUGGAACCAGCUCAAACAAACAGCAGUUGUAACUUUAUAACAUGCUUCUAUGGUCAAGCUGAUAUCUUUUGUGGCAUAUAACUUAUCUAUUGGGGACCGCAAAAGCUCCUCAAAAGCGCUUAUGUAGAGACCACUAAGCACAUGUUUCACAACCUUGAAAGGGGAAAUCACACCCACAUGUUUCACACUUCUGGGAAGCACGGAAAUGGGUAGUGGAUUCUUCACUGUGUCAUUAAGAGAGGAGAAACCAAUAAGAAUAUUAAAACAAUACACACCAAUCCUAGGUGCUUCCGGAAAUAAUAGUGGAUCCAACACAACGGUCAAAUAAUAGUGGAUCCAAGUAUCCAACACAACGGUCAAAAUAUUUGAGUUGGUUAAAUUUGAGUUUAUUUUACCUAGGUAUGUAUCUAUCCAAAAUAUCUACCACACUUUUGCAUCCAACCAAUCUUUUUCUACUAAUGUUUUCAUCUUUCAAGAAAGUUUGAAGUUAGAAGAAAUAUUUGAUCAAAAGGAAUAAAAUAAUCCUUGAAUCAGAAUCUAAUUAUUUUCAUAGUUUUAUUUAUAUAUAUAUAUAUUUACGUAAAUACACUUAAUUAUUUCAAAUAUUUAUCAGUAGUUUUCAAAAAAAUAUUAUUUUUUUAAAAAUAAUUAUCAUAAUUUUAUUGAAAUAAAAAAAAAUGAUAAAGUUAUGUUUCAAUGAUUUGAUACCUUAUGAAAAAAAUAAUUAUUUUAUUUUAUUUUUCUUUUAUUUUUCCCUGCCCCGAGAUCUAAAGAUAACCUUGAGAUGUGAGUCCCAACAACAUCAAACGUCAACCCUGGUCUCGAAAAGUAGGAUCAAAACUGAAAAUUUUUGGGGUUUCUUAUACGAUUAUGGCGGGCAAAAACUACAAGUUAGAGAAUUAGAAUGAUUAUAUCAAGAGAUGAACUAAUAUAUCUAAUCAAAACUGAAAAGCUUUCAGAUUUCUUGAACAAUUACAACAACAAAUCUAACAUUCUUCAGGUAUACUCUUGAGCACCUCAUCAUGACGGCAAGUCUCAGGGUUAACAACACUAACCCGAUUCGCUGGUAUCGUCAUCAUUUCAUGGACAACGUCCUUGAACUCUAGUCUCCCUCCAUCUUUACACUUGGACAAAAGCCUCUCAGCUUCCUCCCUCGUCAUCAAGAUUUUCACUCUCAUCGCCGCCCCUCUCCCUUCCCCUUCCCCCUUCUUCUUCUUCUUCCUCUCCUCCAUCUCCUCUUCCCUUCGAAUCAAUGGCGUUUUGCUCAACUCAUCUCUGUACACCAAGUUAUUUUUUUCACUGGAGGGCCUCACGAACUCAACCGCCUUAUCGAAGACACCCCACAUAUUUUUCUGAUCUGUGAUGGAUGAAGGAAGGUGAAGAGGGGAUAGUGAUAUAUAUAGGGAAGAGAACGAGGUUAAGAGUGAGAGAAAAGUGGGAGUUCAAAGGACUAAGGAGUAUAGCUAGGGGCAUUACUGUAUUGUGGGUGUCAAUGUGUCAUCGGGAUUUUGGCGUGAGUAUCGUGAGGAAUCGAGGAAGUCGUCAAUCGCACGAUGCUGGAAAAUUCGUGGUUAGUUUUGCCAUGCUUCAGAGGCCAUUUGCCAGUCAAUGGCAGUGAUCCACUAACCUAUUAUUAAUUAUUAUCAUUAUAUUAAUGUUAUUAUUAUUAUUAUUAUUAAUUUGUUUUAAAUUUUUUUUUUAGUAGUAGUCAGCGAUGGACAAUGUUAGGUCUUUUACUUCAAUUUUUGGAAUUCUUUUCCAGUACGCGUUGAAAAUUAAUAUAUAUGGCAAAAAUUCUUUCCAGAAAAAAAUAUUAUUUUAAUGAAGUUAUUGGUCUAUUUUUAUAUGUAUAACCUAAAGUUAUGUUUGAUUCUUGGUUUUUUUUUUUUUUUUUUAUUUGUUGGAAACUAAAUAUGAUCUAACAAUUAAUAGAUAGAAGUCUUAAAAGUUAAAAGAGGUCUAAGGUUUCAUGAUUGUAAGAAGUCUUAAAAGGUAAAAGAGGUUUAAGGUUCCGAUCAUCAUAAGAAAUAGUUGAAUCGAGAAAAUAAAUAAAAAUAUAUUUUCAAAACUUACUUUAGAAAAUAAAUUAUUUUUUAAAAUUAAAAUAAUUCAAGAAUAAAUAUAAUAAAUAUUUUGCUUUUUCUAAUAUUUGCAGUGGAAUGAUUUUUUAUAUAGGAGCUUUUGCAAUAGGUUAGAGUGCAUAAAUAUUUAUUUUGGAAUGGAUUAAUAUUUUAAUUUUUAUUAUUUUUUUAAUUAGGAAAGAUACAAGUUGUUGAAGGAGUCAAUGCACUUUUUCAAAAGGUGCUUUUACCCCUUUUGGUGGGCUCCCCUGUCACUAUGGAGAGGCCCAUGAAAAACGACCUGUGGGCCAAGGCCCAUUUCCCCUGCUGUCGUUUUCAACGACAUUUGGAUUCAUCCAUUUAUCCAUUACGGUGGACUGGUUAAAACUUCACAAGUUAUAGCAUGUUUGGUAACGGUUUUAAAACGGUUCUAAAAACAGGUUUUUAAGAAUAGUUUUUGAAAAUUAUUUUAUGAUUUUUAUAGAAUAAAAAUUUAUUUAGAAAUCUAAAAUGUUUUUAACUUAUUUUUAAUUUUUUAAUAUAUUUUUAAAAUAUUUAUAUGCAAUGUUUUAUUUUUAAUAAUUUUCAAUAUUUAUAUAAUUAUUUUUUUAAAUAGUUAUUAGAAAACAAGUGAAGAAAUAUGUUAUUUGAAAAUACUAUAUUUUUUGUUUUUAAAAAUAAAAAAUAGAAAAUAGUUUUUUUAUUGUCAAGUAAGUUUUCUUAAAUUUUUUAUUUUGUAAAAUAAAAAAUUGUUGUCAACUAAAUCCUUAAAUUUUCGGUGUGGUUUGGAUACCUCAUUUAUUUUUUAUUUUUUAAAAUUAGUAAUAAUUCCUAUUUUAGUGUAGGAAUUUUUAAAAACUAGUCUUUAAAAGAUAAUGACUUUUUUAAAAAAUUUACUACUUCCAUUUAAAUUCUUUUUUAAAUAUAAUAUUAGUAUUAUAGAAUUUUUAUUAAAUAUUAAAUAAUUUUUAAAUAAAGUGUCACUAAUUUAAUUUUUUAUAAUAAUAAGUUAAAUGAAGUUUUUAUAAAGCCAAUAUUUUCCUAAUUUCCUAUUAAGUUCCAAAUAUAAAAGCUAUUGUUAUUAACCUUAAAAAAUAGAUUUGAACUUCUUAGACUCAAUUUAAAUAACACUCCCUAAAUUUUAUAUAAGAAUUGAUACUUUAUUAUUUUUUAAAAAUAAAAAAUGCUUCCAAAUUAUUCCUUCAUUUUUUGUUUUGCUCUUACUCAAAAGAGACCCGACUUUAAAUGUAUUUAUAAGAUUAAAAGGAGUUUAUUCUUAUACAUCUAAUAUGAAAUAUCAUAAUAUUCUACCAAUUUUUUUUUUUUUAUAAAAAUUAAAAAUAAAUAGAAAAAAAUAAUAAUAGUCAAUUAUAAUCCAUUCUAAAAAUGGCAAAAAAAAAAUUAUAGGUUAGGUAAUUUAAAAUCCAACCCAUGACUGGGUCUACUAAAAUGACAAAUUUUAGUUAAGUCAAGUAACUAGACACGUAAUUUCCAAUCGAGUUAUCAACUAAAGACGUGUUUAAAUUAGGUCCUACCUGACCAGGUCAAUCCACUUGAAUUCCAAGACUAUGAUCACUGUCUUGGAACAGAUGCAACAUCUCAAUAAUUUCACAGCAUCUUCCAUGGAAUCCAGGAAGCCCAAAAAAAUAUAUAUAUAUUGUUAGAAACUUGUUUUAUUGCACUAGAAUUACCUUGAAUUCCGCGUGUUGGGAACUUGGUACGAUACUACGAUUAACCAUUAGACGGGGUUUAGAACAAAGACCUGACCAUGACCAAAAAAAUUAAUCUUAUAUUGAAAUAAAAUUAAAUUAUUAUAUGAAUAUGCUUCUUAUGUUGUUUUUUUUCCUUUUUUUAUUAUUAUUAUAAAAAAAUAAUGGUAUACCGCCAAAAUUUGUAAGACGAAUGUGUUUGAAUUCAACUUCAAUAUUUUAUUUGAUUAUAAAAAAAGGAAAAAUAGGGGGCUUAGUCAAAUUUGUUUUUAAAAACUAUUCUUUUGUUAAAGGUAAAAAAUAAAAAAUAGUUUUUAAAAACAAAUUUUAGAAAACAACGUCAAACUGGAACUAUAUUUUCCUUUUGUUUUUUAAAAUAUUGGUAAAAAUAAUUUUCACUUAUUUUCUAAAACUUGUUCCUUAUUUCAUCUUUAUUUUUUAAAUUAUUUUCAAAAAACAAUGGCCAAAUAAUACUACAAAAGUUUUAAAACAUUUUUGUGUUUUUAAAAACAAAAAGAUGUUUUAUUUUUCAGAAUUGUUAUAAAAAACAGUCACCAAAUAAACUCUUAAUGGGCUUGAAUUAACUUUAACAUUAUAUUUGAUUUUUUAAAAAAAAGAAAUAAGUAUUGUAAAAAAUAACGGCAUGUUUGAAAACUAAUUUUUUGAACAAUUUACAUCCUUCAUGACAAAAAACAUAUAAAAUAGGUUUAGUAACCAAAAAACGGUUUUCUAUUUUAUGUUUUUAAGAAUAAAAAAUAUAAUAUUUUUAGAUAACAUCUUUUAAUUAUUUUUAAAAUUUUAUUUUCAUUUAUUUUUUUAUGUUUGUUUUAAAAAAUAAUUAUACAACACUUAGAAUAACUAAAAAUAAAAUAUUAUAUAUAAAAUUUAUUUUUAAAAAUAUUUAAAAUAAGUUAAAAACAUUUUAAAUUUUCAAACAGACAUUUAUUCUAUAAAAAUAAAAAAAAAUAUUUUCAAAAAUUAUUUUUUAAAACUGCUUUUAAAAAUAGUUAUCAAACAAGAUCUAAUUUUCUUAAUAUUUGACUUUAUUAUAAAAAAAUUGUUUUAAGGUCGUUAAAUCUUUAUAUAAAAAAAUUGAAAAUAAAUAAUAAAAAUUUGAAAUAAUUUAUAAAAAUAAUUUACCAACUUUAAAAUUAUUUUUUACUUUUUUGUCUGAUUUUUUUCUCGAGCAGUUUCCCUCAAGAUUUUAAAAUAAAUUAUAGAUAAUAAUAUUGAGUCAAGCCCAAGUAAGACGCUUAUCUAAUUUAAGGGUGGUGUCAUUGACAAUUUCAACGAUGGAACACAACUAAGCUUGUCAGGAACAAUUAAUUGUAGGAGCUUUGGAUAAAAUACAGGUGGAUGGAAGCAACUUGGGUCGAAUACAUAAUUGACAAUUCUUGUCGAGAUAUGGUUAGACGUAUUUCUCACGAUAACGUGAAUUGAAUGAUGUGAAUUGCAAUUUUUAACAUCUUCUUAAGUUGCGAAUGGCAAUGUAGUGAUUCGGUUUGAAAAUUCAAAGCUCCAAAGGUAAAUGCAAAGUGAUGUUACAAAUGAUGUGAGUUGCAAUUUUUAACGUCUUCUUAAGUUGUGAAUGACCAUGUAGUGAUUCGGUUUGAAAAUUCAAAGCUCCAAAAGGUAAAUGAAAAGUCAUAUUGGGUUUUAAUACAUUUAUUUAAGAAAAAAGAUAAAAGUCUUUGAAGAUGUUUUUUGAAAAUAGUUGUCAAAAAAUAUUAUACUGAGUAAUUUUUAUCUUAAAAAUCAAAUAUGAAAAAUAGUUUUUCAAUUCAAAGUUGUUUUAAUUCAAAGUCGUUUCAUAGCGUUUCCAUUUGAACACGGUUUCUUUGAAAACACUCUUUAAAUAAUUAUUUAUUGAAGUCUUUAUUCAGUAAGUAUAAUAAUUGAUUUUUAAAAUUUUUAAAAGUGUUUUAUAAAUUUUGUUUAAUUUUUAUUUUCAAAAUCAUUUUUUAAAUUAUUGGUGUUUUCUAUGUCACUACCAAAUAGAUUUUUAGAGUGUCAAUUUGGAAGUAUUUUUUUAUUUCUCAUGUUUUCUUUAGAGUUGAAUACAAUCAUAUGUAGAUACAAAACAGAGGAAUUUUAGGAACCUAUUCUAACUUAUACAUGGUUUGUGGCUAAAAAUGUGGAUGGCCUUUGAAGUAUGGGAAACAUAUUUCUCUAAUUUAUCUAAUUAGACAGCUCACCAACACUCCCCCUCAAGUCGGAGCAUAGAUAUCUCUUAUGCCCAACUUGUCAAGUGAGUUAUAGAAGUUCCUUGCAGACACUGCUUUUGUGAGUAUAUCAGCUAACUGGUAUUCUGAUUUAACAAAUGGAAGCUAAAUAAUCUUUUCUUCAAGGUUUUGUUUGAUGAAGUUUCGAUCCACCUCAACGUGAUUAGUGUGAUCAUGUUGGACCGGAAUGUGGGAGAUAGCAAUGGCUGCCUUGUUAUCACAUAACAAGUUCAUUUCAGAGCUAGGAGCAACGCCAAUCUCAGCUAGCAGCUUUUUCAGCCAAAGAAGCUCACAUAUUCCUUUGACCAUUCCCCGAAAUUCAGCUUCAGCACUAGACAAUGCAACUACCUUCUUUUUCUUGCUCCUCCAUGUAACUAGGUUGCCUCCCACAGAAGUAAAGUACCCUAAAGUAGAUUUCCUGUCCGUGAUGCUCCCUGCCCAGUCAGCAUCUAUGUAGCCAGCAACAUUCAAAUGACCAUUCUUUGAGAACAUAAGCCAUUUCCCAGGAGAGGACUUCAAAUAACGAAGGAUCCGCAUUACAACGUCCAUAUGGUCUUCACUCGGGCAGUGCAUGAACUGACUCACUACACUCACAGCAUAAGCAAUAUCUGGCCGAGCAUGAAAUAAAUAGAUGAGUUUACCCACUAACCGUUGAUACCUCUGUUUGUCUACUAGCACCUGGUCUACAUAUUCUCCAAGUUUGUGAUUCUGGACAAUUGGAAUAUCAACAGGCUUACACUCUAGUAAUCAUACCUCUGCCAGCAAGUCUAGUAUAUAUUUUCUUUGGGAAAGAAAUAUGUCUUGUCUUGACCUUGUUACUUCAAUGCCUAAAAAAUACUUAAGCCCUCAUAAGUUUUUCAUCUCAAACUCAGUUGACAAUUGCUCUUGAAGCCUAGAGAUUUCUUCUACGUCAUCCCCUGUAAUGAUCAUGUCGUCUACAUAGACUAUGAGGGUUGUUAUUUUUCCCACUUGAUGUUUUAGGAAGAGUGUAUGAUCAUAAUUGCUUUGUUGAAACCCAUAUUUCCUCAUUGUCGAACUAAACCUACCAAACCAUGCUCGAGGUGAUUGUUUUAGUCCAUACAAUGCUCGUUGUAAACUACAUGCGAUCUUUGCCUCUGAGGUAGCAGUAUAACCUGGUGGAAUAUCCAUGAAAAUUUCCUCCUCAAGAUCACCAUGGAGGAAGACAUUUUUCACGUCCAGUUGGUGCAAUGGCCAAUCUAAGUUUGCUGCAAGAGAUAAUAGAACUCUAACAAUUUUUAGUUUGGCUACAGGUGAGAAAGUUUACUAAUAAUCUAUACCAUAUUUAUGUGUAUAACCCUUUGCUACCAACUUCGCCUUAUAUCGAUCAAUAGACCCAUCUGCUUUAUAUUUAAUGGAAAAAAAUCCACUUGUACCCCAUUAUCUUCCUUCCUUCAGCCAAUACACUCAAAAACCAUGUGUUAUUUUUCUGCAACGCCACCAAUUCUUCUUUUAUAGCUUGAGCCCAUUUCGAAUCUAAUAAAGCUUCUUCAACACUACUCGGAAUUUGACAUAAGGAGAGUGUAUGUGCAAAGGCUCUGAGAGGUUCAAAUAAUCUUUGAGUGGACACAUAUUUGGCUAUCGGAUACUUGGAUCGUUGUUCUUCUAUGUCUAGGGAGUAUUGAUAUGGUGGUUUGCCUCGAUUGUGUCUAAAAGGUAGAACAUAACCCACAGAUGUAUCUAUAGCAUUAGUUUGUAAAGGUGUGAUAGAAGAGCUUACCUCAGGGAUAUUUUUAGGAUGAGGGUCAUCGGGUACUAAAGAGUGAAGGGAUUCAUCAGAUUUUGCAUUUUCCGAUGAUUCAGGUAUAGGUUCAGCUUCAAUUCUUGGAGGUUCAACCAUGUCAUUGCCAUCAUUCGGAUGUGCUAGAUUGUCACCAACGUUCAGCACUUCAACAUCCAACCAAUUUCAUUAUUCACCAUGGAUCUCCCCCUGAAGAGGGGAAUUGGAUACCAGUGAUGGAAAUUUUUUUUCAGAUUCUAGGAAAGUGACAUCCAUGGUGAUGUAGGUUCUUUUGCAAAUGGGAUCGUAGCAUCUAUAUCCCUUUUUGUGUACUCCAUACCCCAAAAAUAGACACCGGACAACACAUGGAUCCAACUUAGUUCGUUGAUUCUUAUGGAGGUGAACAAAAGCAAUACAACCAAAAAUUCGGGGAGGAAUCAUCAAAAUAGUAGGUAAUGAGACAUGAUCGGAAAUCACCUUUAAUGGAGUCUGAAAUUGGAAGACUUUGGUGGGCAUACGGUUCAGUAGAUGCAUAGCUGUGGCAACAGCAUCACUCCAGUAUCUAUUCGGCACAUGUGCAUUGAUCAAUAAAGCACGAAUAGUUUCUAAGAUAUGCACAUUCUUUUUUUUCAGCAGUACCAUUCUGUUGUGGGGUUUGAGAACAAGAGGUUUCAUGGAGAAUACCAUGACUGUUGAAGUAUGUCUGGAAUUGUUGAUUAACAUAUUCCUCUCCAUUGUCAGAACAAAGGAUCUUAAUUUUGGCAGAAAAUUGUGUAUGGACCAUGGUCUGAAACGAUUGAAAAACAGAAAAUACUUCAUCUUUGUGUUUUAGGAGGUAAAGCCAUGUCAUUCUUGUGCAGCCAUCAACAAAAAUUUCAAACCAAUGAUGACUAGAAGACGUAGUUAUUGGGGAAGAUCCCUAUACAUCAGAAUGGAUUAAAUAAAAAGGAAUCAUACUUUUAUUCAUACUCAAGGGAUAAGAAGCCCUAUGACUUUUGGCUAAGAUACAAGUAUCACAUUUAAAAUUUAAGUGUGUUACUUUGGAAAAUAAACCAGGUAGUAAGUGCUUCAAAUACCCAAAUGAUGGAUGCCCAAGUCGAUGGUGCCAUAACCAAACCUGUCUUUCCUUGUUAUUAAGUGUGUGGUGCAUGUGAUUUGCUCUUCUCGAACUGAAGUCAUCCACGUAGUAUAAUCCCCCCCUCUUAGUACCAUGCCCAAUUAUCUUCUUGGUGAGAAUAUCCUGAAGAAGGCAAAAUGUAGAAUACAUCACUACCACACAAUUAAGAUCUGCAGUAACUUGACUCACAGACGUCAGUCUAUUUGAAAGAGAAGACACAAGUAAUGUAUUAGAUAAUGAAAAGGAAAGAUAUAAAGUCACUGUUCCAGCCCCUAUAACUGAAUAAGUGACCCCAUUGGCGUUUGUAACACAGCUCCGUCUCGGUUGAGUUGCAUUAGAAAAAUCAUUUGAAUCAAAUGUCAUGUAGUUUGUAGCUCCAGAGUCGAGAAUCCAAUCAUCAUCAUCAUUGUGAGUAGAGAUAUAAGGUGUCUUACCAGAAGUACCUAGAUCAUGUGGAGAUUCUACUUGAGGGAUGAGGGAUAAUGAAGGAUCACAAGUAACCACGACAACUUUCCUAGUGUGGUCAUCAUUAGUAGAGGUUUCACGUUUUUUUCGUGCUUGAAAGUCGUUCCACCAAUCUAGAUACCCAUGUAGUUUGAAGUAGGUGUCACGGGUAUGUAUGGAGUUGCCACAAUGUGUACACUUCAUGCCAUCAGAUGGUGUUUUGGUUUUGGAUGAUGAGUUGGAUUUUCCACUGCUCAUAGAAAGAGCCCCUGGUUUCAGUGGCGUCUGGUAGUGACUUCCCUUGAUCCCUCUGGAUGCCAUAACUGCUCCAGGAGUGGUAUCUGCACCUGAGAUCAUCACCGUUUGUCUAACAUCUCCCCUACGAACAAAAGCGUAGGCGUGUUCCACAGUAGGGAAUGGUUUUAAUUGGAGCACAUCACUUCGAGUUUUAUCCAGUCUGUCAUCUAGUUCAUUAAGGAAAGUAUAAACAUGAUCUUCCUAUAGAAUCGAGUUGUAUUUCUGUAUGUCAAUAGCACACUCCAUCGGGUUAGGAUGAUGAAAAUCGAUUUCUCGCCACAACCCUUGAAGAUCGUUGUAGUAUUUUUCAAUGGAUCCACCCGCCUACUUCAUACGAGUAACACGACACCGAUGAUCAUAGACUUGAGACGUAUAUGUCCCAUCAAAAUAGGUUGUAGCAGUAGAAUCCCAAACCUGUUUUGUAGUUGGAAAGCGGAUAAAGUUGGCAAUCAAGGAAGGGUCCAUCGAAUUGAUCAACCAUUCCUUGACAAUGGCAUUUUCAGCUCGUCAUCUCCUGAAUGAAGGAUCAAUUUCUGGAGGCUGAGGGAAAUCUCCAUUGAUAUAUCCCAACUUGUCCUUGCCAGAGAUAUACAUCUCGACAAUCUGAGACCAUAAGGCAUAGUUGGAUCCUUCCCACUUGAUACUGAUCGGAGCAGAAUCGACAAGCAGAGGUUGGGGGGAGGUUUGGGCUCUAGUCAAGACCUUUGUCAUUUUUGUCGUCAGAUCGUUAACGAUGGAGUUGGUCUAGGGAAUGAGAGGUUGUGUUAGGUCUCCGGAUUCCGCCAUGGAUUCUAUUGGGUCUGGGGUUUUUCUGGUCACACGGUGGUUUAAGCAGAGGUCCUAGGGACUUGCUCUGAUACCAUGUCAAUUUGGAAGUGUUUUUCUAUUUCUCAUGUUUUCUUUAGAGUUGAAUACAAUCAUAUAUAAAUACAAAAUAGAGGAAUUUUAGGAACCUAUUCUAGCUUAUACACAGUUUGUGGCUAAAAAUGUGGAUGACCCUUGAAGUAUGGGAUUUACAUUAAAACAAUUUUUUCUAAUUUAUCUAAUUAGACAGCUCACGCCAACAUAGAGUUUGUUUGGUAACUUUUUUUUAAUUAAUUAUGUAAAAUAAUUUUAGAAAACAGUUUUUAAAAAUUAUUUUUAAAUUUUAUAGAAUAAAAAUCUAUUUAAAAACCUAAAAUGUAUUUGAUAUUUUAAAAUAUGUUUUAAAAAUAUUUUUUAUAUUUAAUGUUUUAUUUUUAAUUAUUAUACAUGUUUGUAAUAAUUAUUUAUUAGAAUAGUUCUCAAAAAACAAGUAAAAAUAAUAAAAAUAACUAAGAGAUGUUAUCUAUAAACACUUUGUUUUAUAUUCUUAAAAACAAAAAAUAACUUUUGGUUGCUUAAUGUGUUUUCUGUAUUUUUUAUUUUAUAGAAAAAAACUAUUAUAAAAAAUAGCUCCUCAACAGACCCUUAUUCUCUAUUUGAUUGUUUUGUAAAAUAUGGUUUUAAAAAAUACUUGAUAAUACCUUAAAUUUAUUUUACAAAAUAAUACAUUUUCAAAAAAAAUGUUUUGAAUCAAAAGUUCAUCAAACAUUUUUUUUAAUUUAAAAAAAUUAAUUAGUAUUCUAAAAAAAAAAAAAAACUAUGUUCAACAAUUAUUUUCAAUCAAAUUCUAAAUUUGAAGGAAAAAAAGAAAGAAAAUAUUCAAAAUACUCUGAUAUGGACCCAAACGCUAGUCUUUAAGAGUUAAAUGCAUGAUAGGCCCAAUAUGGGCCACUUGUCACACAGGCUUUUAUAUCUUGGACAUGGCCCAUUACAAAAAUAUUAAUCGGCCCGUCCAGGAGUAAAGUCCAAGCCCAAAUAACGUUGUUUCCCCAUACUUUCUCUGUCUUUUUCUUUUUCUCAUAUGUUGAUUUGAAUUCAUACCCAAGAUGCCAAAAUUUCAUAACAAUUUCAUAUGUACCCUCCCAUUUUGGGCCUUUUGAGCCUAAAAUCAUGGCCCAAGCCCAAGGAACCUCCAGACCUAGAUUUACGCUCCAGAUGGCUGACACACCCCAUACAGCCUACACUACCCCACACCUCGGCCACCUAGAUCUCCACCGUCAACCCCACAAACCCUUCUCCAUUUUCGCAGAAACACAGAGCCAGAGCUCGAGAUGGGCGCAACACAAGCGAUGAAGAGAAUUCCGCUUAUCAAGUUUCCUCAGAGGCACCGCAAACCCUCCGGUUGGUACAGUUUCUCGCAAUCUUCAAUGUUAUUUUGGGGCUUUUUUCAUCUUUCAUUAAUGAUUUCUUUUUCUUUUUUCCAUUUCCAUAAAUUUCUUUAUUAGAUUGUCAAUUCUCCAUAUAUUUGUUUUGGGUUGGUUAUGUGAAUUUUAGCCCAAGAUAGUUCAAUUUGGAAAAGCUUGUAAGUUGUCUGGUAAUGAGAACUGUUUUCUGUUUUAUUUGGGAAAAAAAGAAAAAAGAAAGAUAUUUGGCACAGGAAAACUGAAAUGUUAUAAGAAAAUAUGUUUGGCAAGACAUUUUCCCAAGAAAAAAAAAAAUCUGAAAAUGAAUAAUUCUGAGAAAAAGGCUAAAAUGUUGUCGGGUGCUUUAGAAAUGCAAGUAAUUUGAAAAAUGAGGAUGUUUAUAGGUUGGUUUUUUUUUUUUUUUUUUUUUUCUAAUGUUUGGUUAUUUGGAAAGAUAGGGGAAAAAAAGAGGGAAAAGAUGCAAUAUAAAAUUUAUUUUAAAUAAAUAUCAAAAUAAAAAAUAUUUUUCAUUUAAUGGUAUAUGAUAUAUUAUUCCUUUUAUCAAAUACAAAUCAACUACAUAAUGUAUUAUCUCUGAAAUGAUAUCCUUGUUCCCAUCCAAUUGCAUAUCAUAUCAGGGUAUACAUUUCCAAUCCCAUCUAACCAACCAAACAAUCAAAUGUUUGUCUAAAUAAAAAUAAAGAAACGUAGGAAAAAGCCUAUUUUUUAAUAAUUUAAUUUUUUUUUCCCCUCAAAUUUUCCAUAGACAAUCAAUAAUAGAAAAUUUUUAUAGAUUUUCAUUACCUUUUUCCUUUCUUAGUAUUUUUCUUUCAUUUUCUUUCCCAAGAAUAAUUUUUAUUUUGUCCUCAAUCAGGAGCUUGAAUUCAAUGCCCCAUGAUUAUUGCAAAUUGGGUCUGCAUUGUGUGAAACUGUGAAGUGAUUUUAUGUGAUCAUUGCAGUUUGAGUGUUAAGGUGAUUGCUUUGCAGGUUCUGCAUCUGCAUCCCAGGCAGUGUCUGCAGAUGGGAAUGCUCAGCAGAGUUCCUUUACUAGGAUGAAGGUUCCUGUUGCCCCUUCAAAUGUUGGUUCAGGAGGGAAGGCUUCUCUCCAGCCAAAACGAACUCCAGUUUCUAAUGAGGAAAUUGAGGCUAUUUUGGUAUGUAAAAUGAGAAUUCUAACAUUUACUGCUCUAGUCUCUCUUUUGUUCUUCCACCUUUAUCUGUGUUACCAAAAAUCACCUUUGUCUUUUUGUUAAUCGAACGAGGAUUGUUGAAGUUGUGGACAAAGGCCAAUCCACUAUAACGGGUCAUUGUCGAUUAUGGAAUAUACCAUUAGCCAGUGAAUAUUCGAGUCCAUAUAAAAUAUAUGCCAUUCUCCUUACAAGGAUAAUUUAUUGUUGUUUUUGUGAAGUAUUAAAUAUGAAAGAAUCCUCUGUAUGGGAUUGCUGCAUGGCCCAUUCAUUUGGUUGGCUAGUUUCAUCUAUUUUUAAUAAUUGAGAAAAAUAGUGCAAUGUUUGGUUUCAAGAAAGUAGGAAGAAAAAAAUAUUAAGGAAAAGUUUUACUAUGAAAAACACGAAAUAAUAUUAAAUAUAAUGUACUUAAUAAUUUAUGUACAAGACUUCAAAUAAGUAAGAUAAGUUUGAAGUAGCAUAUAAAAUAAUUUAUUAACUUCAAAUCUUUUUAAAAAAAAUUUCUUUUCUUUUACUUUUCCUCUCUAUUUUGUUUGUCUCGUAUUUUUCCUCAAAUUUCCCGGGAACCAAACAUAGCCUAAAUAAUUGGCAUGGACCAUGGCUCAGAAUCAGCAUGAGCGAAUGAUUAAACCAUUUUACAGUUGUCAUAACCAUGGCUUGAAAAUUAGUUGUUUGGUAUGAUGGUUGAGAUUUUCCUUCCGGGUUGCAACUUGCAAUGCAUACAAGGCGGGGACCCUGACAAGGAGCCCUGCCUUGCUGUGUGUAUGCACUGCCUCAUAUGACUGUGGCUUGUAUCCUCUUGUCGCCUUCUUGAAUUGGUAAUGGCUUCUUCAUGUGUUUUUUUUUUUUUAAACAUUUGCAGUUGGGAGGCUGCUUCUGAUCUUUUGAUGGAGCUCUGAGACAGGAAGUCGAUGUAUUGGGCUGUUCUUUGUCUUUUGAAUUUCUUUCUUUAUUUUGUAGAAAUCAAAUUUUUUUACUUUCUACGUAAACAGAGAAGGUUAUAAUGCAACGAUCAGCUUUCUGAAAUCUUCUACAUAAACAGUGUAUCUUGAGGAGAUUAUAAUGUAAUGAUCAGCUUUCUGAAAUCUUCCCAAGUGGAAAAACUAAUUAUAUCUGGAGAAGGUUAUAUGCAAAGAUCCAGGUUUCUGAAAUCUUUCCCUAGUGGAAAAACUAAUUGAUAUCUUUGAUGACCAAACACACAGGACAAGGAUAAGAGACUGAAGUUAAGCUUCUGCAUGAGGUAUGCCUUUUCUGAUCCUAAUAUAGAAUCUACUAAAGCUCUGGUUGUUGGACAUUGAAGUUUUGUAGAUAUUGUCUAUUCUAAUCCUAAUAGGUCUAAUGGUUCUUAUGACAUUAAACGUGUCUAUGUAUAUAUGUAGGAUCAGCAAUUUUUUCUUCUAUGCAACAUGGGAUAUUACAAAACUGUUUAUAAUCAACCAAUCGGCUGUCUAAGUUGCAGUUAUCAAAGUAAGAGGCUUACAAAUAUUCUUACAUACAACUGAGAGAUGAAAAAACAGUGAAUGGUCAUGCCUCCUGUUCAAGUAGAGUUUCAAGGAUAGCAGACUUGGGAUUUUUCAUUGGAGGUCCCUUGUCCCUACGUUGGAGCUCUUCAAGCCGGAAAGUAAUUAACCUGUCCCAAUUCCCUCCUUCAAACAGAACACCAGCCUUGCCAUCAGUUAUUCUCUGUACAAUGCCACAAUACAUGUAAAAAGGAUUAUUAGGGUUCUUCACAAUGGCAAUCAUACCAGGCAUCAGUAGUGGCAAUUCAGGUGGUUUUGGCUUCCUUAAUCUUGCAUUCUCAAUUAUGUUUCCUGAAGUUUUCUCCGGAGGUGGGUUCUUCUCUAGGAAUUGUUUCAAACCCUUUUCGCCACCAGGAAAACCGCCGGUUAAACCUAGCAACUCCUUAUCAAAACCAUCUUCUGGAACAUCAUCAACAGCCGCCAAUGCUGGUUUUUCUUCAUCUUUGACACUAUCUGGAGAUGGGGCUGGUUCUAUGUUCCUCUUGAGUUCUUGUUGAAGGCCUUCUUCGCCAUUACAGAGACCUCUUCCUCCCAUGAUUCCAAAGAGGUCGAACUUGGCACUGGCUUUUACAGGUAAGGGUGUUCUGGUUCUUGAGAGAGAGGCCUUCUGGAUAUUGUUGGGGAAAUGGCCUUGGCCUAGAAAGUGAGAUUUGUGAGGCAGAGGGCGUUGAAGGCUGGGGACAGUGAAGGAAUAAGCCAUGGUUCUGCAGAGGCCAGCCUGGGGGAGAGAGAAAAGAGAGCAGAGAGAAGAGAGAAGAGGAAAGAGAAAAACCUUGCUAUAAAUCCUGACCACAUAUAAGGGCUUUAUCCUAAGUUUCUUUCUGUCACCUUUUCAUUAGUGAAGUGUGAUUCACAUUUAUCUGGAUAUGAAGUGUCUAUCAAAAAAAAAUUUAUCUGGAUAUGAAGUGGGUCCAUUUUCAAGACAUUGGAUGCUGUCUGGAGUGUGUUGCUGCAAAUCUGGCCAGCAGAAAAACUUAGUGUGGAUUCCUUGAAUUGGAGUGUGGCCUCAGGAGCCUGGUUGCUACAAUAAGUGGCCUGUGCCCGUGGGUCUUGUCCUGUGCCCCAUACAACACAAAUGUCUAAACUGAUCGGCUCUGAUGAAAAUCUAAUGCUAUCCAUUCAAGAAAGUUAGGGUUGUUUGACAAGUGCUCAAUUAAAAUUAGUUCUCAAUCAUUUUUAAAAGUGGAAUUCUAUUAGGGGACUCAACCAUGAAAGACAAGACUGGUUAGGUUUAUUUGGGAAGUGUUUUUUAAUAUGGUUUUUAAAACAGUUUUGAAAAUUGUUAUAAUUAUUUUUUAAAGUAAUUCUUAAAAAACAAAUAAAAAUAAUAUAAAAUAACUAAGAGAUGCCCUUAGGAAAAACAUUAUUUUUGUUUGAAUGUAUUUUUAAAAAUAUUUUUUGAUGAUUGUUUUUGAAAAAUGCUUGUUUGAAAAAUUGAAAUAUUUUUAACUUGUUUGAAUGAAACCUUAAAGUGAUGUGUGGAAUUCUUAAAGUGAUAAUUUCAAUGAAAGCUUAAGAAUUCAAAUCGGAAAAUUUGAGGUAAAAUGUGAAGAAAAUAAAAUAAAAAGAAAAAGUGAAAUAAAAGAAUAAGAGAAUGAAAAUAAAAAAUAAAUUUAAAGUCAAUAAAUUAUUUUUAUAUUUUUUCAAAUUUUAUUUUAUUUAUUUCCCUUUGAUUAAAAUUUUUUAAUUGAUUUUAAUUAUAUUUUAUUUUCUUUUAUAUUUUUUUAUAGUGAAAUUAAAUAUAAAAAAUUAUUUUUUUAAUAAUUUUUUUCUUUUUGUGAUACUUUUCAAACAUAGUUUAAAGAUCUUCUCAGAUCAUUGUAAAUACUGAAAAUGUUUAUUUGUUUGUUUAAAGGGAAAUAAAAAAAAUGAUAUUAAGUUUAAAGUUAUAUGAAAAAUUAAAUUAACUAAGAACAAGAAUCGAAAUGCAGGUACGAAAUUGGAAACCCACCAUAAAUAAUAUAAAAAUAAAAAGUUGGAUAAGCAUAUCCAUAUCCAAACAAGACGAUAUUGAUUCCUUAGUAGUCUUUUGUGACCUUUCUUUUGUGCCCUUGCGAUGUACUCACAAAUUCUCGGCUCCCCGAUUCCUGCUGCAAUCAUGUCCUUGAAGUGAAAUUACUGAGUUUUCAUGACUGCCAUCUUUGCUUUUCAUGAAUGGAGUCAAUAUGCGCAAAUAACCAUACAUAUUCAUAUUUAGAUUCCGUUGUAGAAAGGGAACUGUGGUUUCUUUUCCUCUUUUUUUUUUUUGUCUUUUUAUGUCAAUAAUUUCUAUAAUUACCAUGAAAUUGAAAUAAAUAAUUAAUUAAAAUAGAUAAAAAUAUUGGAUAAUUAUAAAUCUAACAUUCCCUGUCUUUUUUUUUCUUUCCUAAAAACAGUUUUUUUUUACCUAAUUGUCCUUCAAUAUAUUGAUUAUUUAAGUGUAUCUAAAAUAAAAUGGUAUUUUUGUAAAAAAAAAUGAAAGCAUUUUUAUCCAAGACAAGUAUAUUUUGGGGUUAAACAAAGUGGAGGGGUGAAUUUGUAAAAUGGAGAUUAUUUCAUCCCUUUUAAUCAAAUAAUUUAAAAUAAGUCGAUAAAAAAAUAAAUACAAAUCUUAUAAUGGUGUUUUUUCAAGAUUAUCAAUAAUUUUAAAAAUUCUAAAAGUUUUUCUUAGAUUUUGUUAAAUAUCUAAUUAUUUUUCAAAAACAUUAUCAAACAAACUUUUAAUUUAAUUGAUAUUUUGAAAAUAAAUCUAAAUUAAAAAUUUUGUUUAAAAAACUUUAAUUUUUAGAUAAACUCUAAAUCUUGAAUCUUGCCUUACAAUGAGAUGAAAUGGAUUAGAAAUAGGGUUGAUUUUCGAAACUAAUAAACCCUUUUGAUUCUAAGUAAUAUUUACUUGAUUAAGAAGAGUUUAAUAAUUUGAUUAAAUAUGCGAGGAUUGUAAUUAUUGGAAUCGAUUUUAGUUUGAAAAUAAUGCUUUAAAAUAAUUAUUAGAUGAUUAAAUAUUAUAAUAAAUAUUAAUAUUGGAAUGUUUAAAAAUAAAAUAUCUAUAAUUAAAAUUAUAAUAAAUAUUUACAUAUUUAAUUUUAUUUUAAAUAAUAUGAAAAUUCUCUUCUUGAAAUCUAUUUUAAAAGUAAUAGAAAAUAUGAUUACAAUCAUAGAAUUCAAAAUAAAAUGGACAAAACUAUUAUGACAAAAUUGUACAUUCAAUUCAUGUUAGUAAACACUUCAAAAGAAAUUAUUUUCAUUUAUAUUAUAUUAAAAAAUGUAGGGUAUGUUUGAGAAAUGUUUUUAGGAUAACCUUUUGUUUUUCAUAACAAAAAAACAUGAUAAUUAAAAAUUGUUUUUUAUUUUAUAUCUUUAAAAACAAAAAAUAUGAUAUUUUUUAGAAAAAACCUUUAAGUUGUUUUCAAUUUGAUGAUUAUUGUAAAAAAUAAAAUAUUAAAUAUAAAAUUUAUUUUUAAAACAUAUUUAAAAAUAUUAAAAAAAUAUUGAAAAUAUUUUAGGUUUUUAAACAUACUUUUGUUUUAUAAAAAUUUAGAGAACAAUUUUUAAAAACUGAUUUCAAAAACCAUUUUUUUAAAUUAUUUUAAAAAAUAAUUAUUAAACAGACCUUAGACCUUAGACUUACUUUUCAACAAAACAUCAUGCAAUUUUGUUGAAUCAAUCCAUUAUUAUAUUUGUUAUAAUAAUUUGUAAUUAUUCCCAAUUAUCCAUAAAUAAAAAUUAUAUUAUAUAUAUAUAUAUAUAUAUAUAUAUAUAUAUAAUUUUAUAAUCAUUUGCUGAAAGACAUUUGGACAAUUUUCACAUUUGUUGAAUUUUUUUAUACUUCCUAAAUAAGGUUGUGAAAAUCUUAAUUAAAAGAACUUACCAAAUAUGCUAAAAAGAAAAUAAUUUAAAAUCUAUUUUGGAAAAACAUGCCAUUUUUAUUUCUCAGAUAAUUCCUAAUCCAUUCCUACUAUUUCUAUCAACCGGCAAAUCAACGACUGCCACGACAACAAACCGUAGUUUCCUUAAAACAACAAGGGUGUUUCUGUCAUUUAAAGUACAAAUUAUCCUCCGAGUCUCAGAACAAUCACAUUUUACAAUUUAAUUCCAAUAACCAAACUCAGCCGCGCCUCCGAUCUCUCUCUCCUUUUUCUCUCCCUUAUUAUUAAAAGAGAUUUCAUCGUCUUCUCUACAUUUCAGCCACAACUGCUUCUCUCUACAGUUAACCGACCCCGAUCUCGCUGCUCUGGCGAGCAUCCGGCGAUCAGAUCUUUCCAAAUCCUAGAAAACAUCCGUUGGUUUCUUACGUCUGAAGUUUAUGUUUCCGAAUCUCGGCGACUUCGCCGGCGCCGGAAUCUUGAAGAAUCCGUUAGUGUUGUUGCGGCAAAGUCUGUGUUGUUUGAGGUUUUUGGUUUGAAACUCUAAGCCUAGGGUUUCAAACUACGAGGUUUUCGAGUUCUUUGAGAUUUUACAUCUGCUGUUGAUUCUUUUUGGCCUUUUUGAGUGGUAAUCAUGCCGCGAAGUUCACGACACAAAUCGCACAAGCAGAGCAAGCACAGUUCGAGAGACGUGAGAGAGCGGUCGGACUCGGAGGAAGAUGUAAAGACGAAGAACGGGAGAGAGGAGGGUUCAGUUAGGGUUUCAAAGGAUUCGUCUUCUGGUGAGAAGAGAAAGCUCGCUUCGCAGUUGAGGGACGGCAAAGAUCUGUCUGGUCACGGCAAUGGUGAAGCGUCGGAGGAGUAUGUCUCUUCUAAGAGACGAAAGGAUAGGGUUGACGUGGCCGGCAGUGACAGGUGGGACGGAGGUGAUGAGCGAGCCGAUGGUUCUGUGGUGGAUAAGGGCAUGAAGAGUUCACGGAUGGAUUCGGAGAAAGGUUCCAAAUCGAAGGUUUCAAUUGAUUCCAAAAGUAAAAGUAGUAGAAGGCAUGAGAGUGAGAGAAAGGAGGACAAUGUGGGUUUGGUAGCUGAGAAAGAGGAGAGUAAGAGUGGUAAGGUUGAAGCAAAGAGGAAGGGGGAGAAGGAUUCAAGUCAGAAGGAGGCGAGUCAGUACAAGGAUGCGAAAGAGAAGGAGAAGGAGCGUGGCUCGGAGAAGGAUAGGAAGGUUCAGGAUAGCAAGCGUGAUUCAGAGACAAGGGUGCGGGAUAGCGAAGUGAAAAGGAAGCGAGAAUCUGAAUCGGUGGAUGUUGGAGUGGAGCGACCAGUGAAAAAGGGAACGGAAAAUACUGGUAAGGUAACGGAUAGUUUUGGUGUGGUGAUAUUUUCUGUUUCUGGUGAUAUAUACUGUUUUCUUUGUUUUUCUGUAGUUACUAUAGAUUGGUAGUUUUUUGUAUGGUCUCGAGUUUGAUCUUAUGUUUGUUAAUCUCAAACAUGAGGGGCUAUUCGUCUUAGUCAUUAAUUACGGGGGCUCAGCUAAUUUAUUUUCUAUGAUUGUUUUACUUUUUGAGCAAGUUUGAUGGAAAGUCAAAGUUAAAUGCACAGGAAAAUAGCCAGCAAUUAUAUAAAUGCACUGUGAUUGGUGGAAUUUCAGGCACGAGAAUCUCACUAAAUGUCAAUUAAAGGAUUGACAAAGAUGUUUUUUUUUUUUUUUUUCCUAGCAUUUAGUGUUAAAUAUUGGACCUAGGAAGCUGUAUUGCUUGUUUCAUUCUGUGUCAAAUCAGACAAAAUUUAGGAGGGUUCUUUUAAUGUUGUAUGUUUAAUAUUUUGUCAACCCUGUUUUACAUGCUUUUUGCUUGAUUAAUUUAGUUUAGAAUGUCUUUCCCUAGAAAUUGACCGGUUUAUUUCCCAGUGUUCAACAUCUGGGCAGUGAAGAACCGUGUUUAGAAAUUGGGUAUAACCAAAACAAUGAUGUUGAGAUGGAUGACUGGUGUUGCUAGAAAAGAGUGCAUUCAUGAGAAGCUAGAGGUAUCAUUGGUUAAGAUGAGUAAAGGUAUUGAAGAUGGUUUCAACAUCCGUGGAAUGAAGGCUCAUGAAUGCUGUCGGGGAGGAGGCAAGAAUUUUUAGCUUGGGGUCAUCUUAAUAUUUUACUACGGGCAUCAUGCCAACUUGUUAUCUAUGGGCUGUAUCUAAGCAUCAAUAUGGAACAAAGCUUCAUUUUGUGGAAUUCUAGUACAUUGUCUAUGUCAUGUACUUGAUCCUUUUCGAUUAUCCUGCUAUGUGGUUUGAACUUUUUCUCUCUACCCUUGUCAACAAAAUCCACAUGUGUGCAGAGCAAAUUAUACCACAUACCUUCCAUAUAGAUGAGAAGUUGAUUGAUUUAUAGUCUCAGGAGAAGUAUGCUCUCAGAACUAAUAUGCUCAUUGAAAAUCAGGUGUAGCUAGAACUUAUUUUGGAUGGCUAUGCUUUCCUCUCCUACUAAAUAUUUUUUUGCUUGUCCCCCCAGUUAUUUUACUUCAUUGUUAUUUACUAUAAUUGUAGGUUGUUUCACUUGUUUGCUUUUGUUAAAUUGUUCAGUUGCAAUAUGAGUUCGUGGUGCAAAAAAAGAAAAAAAAAAGACGAGUCCUGUAUGCAGUGCUGCUAAAAAGCUUUGAUCCACUUGGAGUACCUUAAGUUAUGCAUCAUUUAGUAGUGCAAUUUUUGAAUAUGUACAUAUGUGGUGUGGUGUUUUCAUAUGGAGUUAAGUUCCUAUUUGGAUCACAUUUGUGGUAUGGUCACCUGUCAGAUUGUGGAGGUGAUGUACCCUUUUCUCAUUAUUGGUGGUGUUGUGUGACAAAUUUUCCUGAGGGGAACUUCUAAUUGAGUUUGCCUGUGCUGACAGCAUAGUUUUAAAAGGCAUGAGGUGUGCCUAAGGCAUAAAAGUCUCCUAUAGCUUAGGCACAAGGUGCAAUAUAAGGCAUAGCUUGAGUGAAGUGAAAUGUGACUCGGGGUGCAUAUCAAUUUUAUAAAAUAUGAUUCAAAAUUUAAUCCAACAAUAAAAAAUUUAAGAUUCCAAACAGAUAAAGGAAGCAUUCAAUAAAAAAAAUAAUGAAAUCAUAUAAAUUUUGAUAUACAAUUAGAAAUUUCAAGAAUAAAAAUGUUUAAAACGGAAGUGUAAAGUUGAUAAGGUGUGCCUCAUCAAUAAGGCAUGUGUCUUUGUAAGUGAGUUGUUGUAACUAUGGAGUGGUUGGGCCUUGAGCCUAGGUGCGCCUUUUAAAACUAUGGCUGACAGAUUUGGUACAUGGGCUUAACACAUGAAAAUAACAUGCUAUUUGGUUUAUUGAAAAUUUAUCUAUUUAAUUAUUGUUUGUGUUUACUUUGUAGUAAAGGUUUGUUGUUUCACGUUCCCUUUUCCUACCAAAAUUUAGCUCACAUCAUGAUUAACAAUACUCUUUUGCAGAGUGGCCUUUACAAGAUGAGCUGCGAAAUCCUGAGUUAGAGAAAGAACUUGAGAAACGGAUUCGAAGAAGAGAUGGCUCUAGUGACAAGGAUAAAUAUCAGGAUUUAAGAGAAAGUGAUGAUAGGCGAAUGUCUUCAAGGGGUGAGCAUGCCAAGGAUGAAAGAUACAAGGAUGAAAGGCUCAAGGAUGGGAGUUAUGGAGAUAAAUACCGGGAAGAUGUUGACAGAGAAAAUAGACACAGGGAUGGCAAGCAAAGAGAAGACGCUGACAAGGACAAGAGACAUCGGGAUGAGAAGUACAGAGAUGAAUACACCUCAAGAGAUCGCACAACUGAUAAGUCUGAUACUAAGCGCUUGAGGGAUGAAAAUCAUGCUGCAGAAAUUCGUCGUAGGAAAUCAAGAACUCAAAGUAAUAAUCAUGAUGGUAGUCCAAUUUAUGAUGAUAGAAGUACCAGAUACAAAGAUGAUAAGGGGAAAAGAAGAUCUGAUGAUAAAGAGGAUCAUAGUGAUACGAGACCCCGAAGCACCAAGGAGCAACGCACUGAUGUGGAGAAGAAAUCAACAAGUGGUGCUAAAAUAGACUCAGGGACUGAUAGGGGAAGGUCUCAUUCACGCCAUGGUGAUGUGGACUCUACUUUCGGCCACAACAGGAGAAGGAGUUCUCCCAGCUCCAGCUCUCAUGUUGCUAAAGAACAAUAUAGGUAUUUAUCUUUAAAUCUCCUUGAUACAGUAAAAUAUUAGACAAUGCAGUUUUAUUGUUACCCAGGUGCAGUUAGAUAUUAAUGACACUCUUAGUUCAGCAUUUUUUUUUAUUUUUUAUUUUUGCUUUGUUGGGCACACUGGACCUCAUGAUCCACCAUUACCUAUGUUAUAGUUCAUUUUGUCUCAAACUGCUGGACAUCUUUUAACAGUGCCGAGAUACCAACAUUUAUGUUAUUUAGCUUUACUUGUGUUGGGGAAUGAAUUGCAUUAUGCCCACAGUUUUCCAAUUUGGAAAGACCCAACACCCUUUACAUUGGUUUGGACAAUUGAUUGUGUUGUACCAACAUUUUUCCAGUUUGGGAAGACCCAACACAAAAAGUAUGGAUACCUUGCGUCAUUGUGUGCACCAAAUUAUGUGCCAACACCUUGAGACAUAGAUUUGUGGAUGUACCCUUUUAUGCCUUGUGUUAUCAAUUUAAAAACAAAAUUGUAGAAAAUACCAAAUGAUGAUAUGAGAUGAUUGAGGAACCCACUAAAAACAAGGUUCAGACACAUAGGAAAUGAUGGAAGAAUCGAUGAUGAAGAGACUUUAAUUGUACAAAACAAUGGGAUUUUUUUUCAGAAGUUCUAUGAAUAUUUCUUAUUAGAAGGUACUCCAUUUCUCCAAUUUUCCAGAAAAUAUUCCUGGGAUAUAAAAAUCAAGCUCCCCUUAAUUUUUGAGAAGUUUCUUGUUGGUCCAAGAAACGGGCUUUAAGGAAAUUAUGUUCUUUCUUAGGAAGGGAGUUUCCAAUUAACUAGGUUGGGCUUCACUGCCUGGGUGCCACCAGUUGUUUCUGUAUAUUUAUGCUUAUUGCCUCUGCUGUAUGGAUUACAUGACAUUGCUAUGGAAAUGGGAUAUUAUUCUGGGUAUGGCUAUGGGGCACAAACACAGCUUCCAUGUCUUAUUAAAUGAGGAGGUGGAGAAGAUGAAGCGAAGAAAAACUGGGGGGAAAAGUUAAUUUAAAAAACACACACAUUUUUAUGUUAUUGGAGUUGCAGCAGGUUGUCAGUAGUAACAAAUGUUGACAGUAGGUUGUCAGAUGAUUUACAGUCUGGCUAUGUGGGCUUUCUAUGGCACCUGCAAGAAGGGUUUUGCAUCUGAUCAUGACUUCUGUUGUAAUGUUUACAAUUUUUUCACAAGUUGUCCUUUUUUCAAGAUUUUCACAACUUAAUAAAUCAAUUUGCUAUAUGUCCUAAUAAUCCCUUCUGUCGUAUUAUUUGUAUUUCAACCCUCAUGUUAUAAAUUUUCCUCAAAUCAGUAUUUUAUGGGGAAUAUAAAUUAGCUGUAUCCAGUAUUUUGGAUUUUGGUUUUCUAACAGAUUGGGUCCUUUGUUGGGGUGCUUAAUAACUAUGUUUCAAUGGAUUGAUGACAUUCCAUUUCAGUAAACUACAAAAUUGUCCUACUAAUCAUUGCUUGUGUUUAUGGACGUAUUCCAGACAUUCAAAGCAUGAAGAAUCAAGGUACCAGGACUCAGUGCCUGAAGAAAGAGUACGGCAUUCUGGAGCACCAGAAAAAGUUUCUGUGUCUCGUUCCAUGGAGAAAGCCAUUCAAAAGGAUGACAGUCGUGUGUUAUCAGCUGAAAGACGUCCAAAUUCAGAUGCCCAGACUUCACCCUUGCAGAUGACGGAGAAAUCUCCAUCAUCAACUAGUAUUGACCGAAGACGUGUGAAUAGAGCAGAUGUUAGGCAGAGUCUUGACGUUGAAGAAUCAGGACCAAGCAGUGUGUCCAAGGAUGCAAAGGAUUAUUCUGGUGUCGAAGGCAAAGCAAGUGGCCAGUUCCCUAUGGAGACACUUUUAGGAGAUGAUCUUCCCCAAGCAGAUGGAGACAAUUUCUCUGUUUCUUCUCCUUAUGCCAAAAGUAUUCACUUGCCUGGCAAUUCCAAGAGUCUUCCUCCACCUCCCUUCAGAACUGGAGUUGACAGCUCUGCAGUUUCUGGCCCUUUGGAAGAAGAUAGAAGUAAGUCUAAUAAUCGUUAUAAGCGUACUGGUGACACUAACAUGGGAAGAAUGCAAGUUAAUUCUUGGAAAGGUGUUCAAAACUGGCCUUCCCCAGUAGCUAAUGGAUUUAUUCCUUUCCAACAUGGUCCACAUCCUGUUGGUUUCCAUCCCAUGAUGCAGCAGUUUCCAGCUCCACCUAUGUUUGGUGUUAGACCUUCAAUGGAAUUAAACCAUGCUGGGGUUCCUUACCAUAUUGCUGAUGCUGAUAGGUUUCCUAGCCAUGGGCGUCCAUUUGGGUGGAGAAAUCCAGUGGAUGACUCUUGCCCUCCCUUACAUGGGUGGGAUCCAAGUAAUGGUAUCUAUGGGGAUGAAUCCCACAUGUAUGGGAGACUAGAUUGGGACCAUAAUAGAAACUUGGCAAGUGGUCGUGGGUGGGAGACCAGUGGAGACAUGUGGAAGGGGCAAAAUGAUGGUGUGAGCAUGAGCAUGGAGUUGCCUUCUGCCCCCCAUAAAGAUGAUAAUUCCAUGCGUACACCAGCAGAUGAAGCUUGGGCUGGUCGGUCUGGUCAGCAGCAGUUUGGGUAUGAACAGAACCAACCUGAUCUUCAGGUGGCAAACAUUGAAACUAUUCAGUUGAACACUAUCAAGGAAAAGGAGAGAUCUAAAGCUCCAGAAACCAUCCCUGAGAAAAAACCCAAUAAUCCUGAGACAUCAAAAGACAACCACCAUCUUUGGCAUGUUUAUCUUUCAAAGCUUGAUGUGUCAGCAGAUCUUACUUAUCCUGAAUUAUAUAAUCAGUGCACGAGCUUGAUGGACAAAGAACAAAGCAAGGCUGUUGAUGAAGAUGCUUCCAAGGUUUUAUAUGCAGAGGUAUAAGCAUUUGAUGAUUUUAAUGUAUCUUACUCUCAUAUCAAAUUUUCAGCUUUAAUAAUAAUUUUCCAUCUUGUAUGGCAGGAGGUUAUUGAAGCCAAAAUAAAGAUUUCGAAUGGAAAGUCAAGCACUUCACUUUUUGCUGCCAUAAAUGAUUCUGUUUUUCAGGUAAUAUGCAUGUCAGGAGGCAUAUGCACUAAUUCAUGUAUCAAAUACUUCCCGCCCUGUAUAGAUAACAAUGCAGAAAAUUCCAUUGCUGCAUUUGCUCAUAUCCAUGUAGUUAUCCUUACAUCAUCUCUGCCCUAUCAUUACUUGUGGGUUUACCAAGUUCUAACCAUGGAAAUGUAUUCUGCAUCCUCCUCUUUGUUAAGUGUGAUAGUCUUGGUUGAUGCAAUGUUCAUGAGGUGCUCCUAGAUUCCCUAGUAUUCCUGACUGUAAGGUUCUUUCUAGGGCCUAUCAAGAGUGGUUAAAGUGCAUUCUUGUGACGUGAUAGUCCUAGCUUCUUAAGUAUGCUUAUAAGUUUACAUCCAAUGAUCCUUAACAAUGUCCUAAAAAACAUUGUUUUAUCCAAUAUCAUUUGUAAGAUUCAUGUUUUUCCUUUCGCAUUGCUGGUUAAGAAGUCUAAAAGUUUGUAGCUAUAUAGGAAGUUCUUAAUUUUUCUAGGUCUAAAGUUAACAAUGUCCAGAAAAUGUUAUUUUCCAAGGAAGUCAAUUCUGGAUAUCUUGUUCACUUUGCUCUGCAAUUUCUGAUUUUUUUCUCUUGGGUGCUGAGUAUUCUUUUCCUUACUAGGGUUAUUUCUUUGUAGUCAUGAAAAUUUGAUGCUUUUAUUAUUAUUAUUCAUCUCUUAUCAAUUAAUGAGUUCAUACUUGAUAUUAUCCAUACAGAGAGCCAUGUCUCUUUACAAGAAGCAGAGAGAAGAGACGAGAACUAUCCUUCUACCCUCAGUGCCAAAUGGAGAUGAAAUUCCAUCUACUAAUGCAGAGGACACUAAGUACAUUCCAACCUCGGAUCAGGACAUAGCGGUGAUGCCAAUCCCAUCUCCAGAUGAAGAUAAGCUAGUGGCGCAGGUUUCAACUUGUGACCAGCAACAGGUAGAGGUUAUAGCAAGCUCUGAUCAGGAGAAAGUGGAGAUGUCGAUUCCCCCUCAGAAGCUUGAAGUGCCCCUUGAAUCCCCUAAUGAAAAGGUGAACGAACCAGUUGCAGCAGCUGACAGUCUGGAGAUGCUAGAGGAGCCAGUUCCCUCUCCAGACAAGGUGAAAAUGGAGGUGGAUCCUGAGAUAUUCGAUGAGACUCUUCCAACUUCAGCUCCAAUCACCUCAAAAAUGGAGGUAGACCCAGAAAUCAAUCAGGAAACAUCCAAGGGUCCAGUUGAAAACCAAGCUGCUACUGACACGGUGGAUACCAUUGACAAGAAGUUAGUUGACACCAAGUCUGAUCCCUUGUUUUUUUCAGAUAGGCCUUCUGAGGGUUGUGAGUCAGUGAUGCCGGAGUUGAUUGAGUCUGGUUCAGUAAAUUUAAGCCGGAUACAUCAUUCUCCUGAAAGUACACAUUGAGACAAUUUUUAUUUCCAUGAGCCUUUUUAACUGCCUUUCAUAUUUGAAAAUCUUGCCGCCUUUAUCAUAUUAACUUGUCUUUUGCUCUUCAUUGCCCCCUACUGAUGUUUUCUGUUUCAAGUAUCAAAAUGCGGUCUUCAAUUCCCAAUAAACGGGAUUUCUCGGACCGUCCACUCUUCUUGUUUGUGUGUCUGCAGCUGCUGGGGUUUGGGUUUCUGCUCUGCCAAUUCCAUUGAAGACCUUUCCUAGAAGAUCAGGUUUUUGUUUUCAAACCCCUCAUCUCUUCAUGGUUUUACUGUUUAGGCUGAAACCUGCUGUGAUCUUUGAGGAAGCUCCAUCUUUUGGUAGAGCUGAUGCUGAAUGUGACGUGGUCUGUGUCAUGUCAUGUGUGACGGAUUACACCACUGUGGUAAGUGUGUUCUUCUGACACCAAAAUUAUUGGAUCAGAUAAAGUAGGAAAUAGGAUAUAAGUAAGAAGAAAAAAAAGAAAAAAGAAAAAAGAAAAAAGAAAAAAAAGGAAGUACAGGCGAUUCUCUUGUUUAGUUUUAUAAGAUAUAGAAAAAUUGAAUAAAAUACAAGAAAAUCAUCCAACCCUUAUAUAAAUGUUAAAAUUUUUAAUUUGGAAAAGUCAGAAAGGUAGAAAGGUGUAAAGAUGGGAUUAAAACACAAAACGAGCCCAGCUAUAUAUGGGCCCAGUUAUCUUUGCAAGCAAAAUAUAAAUUCAGGAGGUUACAUGGAUGAUCUCAGAAUUUUAUAUAUUUAUUUAUUUUUCCCUAAGGUUUGAAGGGAAAAAGAUAAAGGAAUUUUGAACAUUUAGAAAUUUAGAAAUUUAAAAUUAAGGUCUCUGAGUUUUUUUUUAAAAUAAAAAUAAAAAGAAUGUAAAUUAAGAUCUUGGUUAUAUAUUUUUAUUUUUAUUCUUAAAAACAAAAAAUAACAAUAAAUUUUAUUUUAAAUAUUGGAACACUUAAAAAAUUAUUUAAAAGGUUAGGUUUAAUAAAUCAAUUUUUUUUUAAAAAAAAAAAAAAUAUUUGUGUUUAAAAUUGAGAAAUAGGAAAUGCAUCUAAAUGAGUCCUAACCAUUGAAAAUAUGCACCUAAAAUCUAGAUUAAAUUCUACAAAAACAUUAUUAUGCAAUUUAUUCUAUUUUAAACCGAAGCUCACUGACUCGGAUUCGCCCGCAAUUGAUUAUGCUGUGGGGGAGUUGCCCUUUGUUUUGUACAACCCAUCCAAGGGCUCAGGAAAGUCGGUGGAAGUUUCGUGUCUCCAAAUCGCCAAAUCAAAUACUGCUUCUCCAAUUUUUUAUUUUCUCACAAUAAUCCUUGCAAUUCCCAGCUCCCAAUCACCUUCCUCUUGAUUUGCGCCUUUUUGUUGGGCAAGACUGAUUUUUAAUUUAAUAAUAAUAUUUUUUUUGUUUUUUACUUAAAGAAUUUAAUCUGAAAUUUAAAAAAAAUAUAAAAAAAUAAAAUAAAAUUAUAUGAUUUGGAGAAUAGAGCAGAUCCUUCUCCCCUGUGUUGUCAUGCUGGCCAAAUCAUUCCGUACGGGCUAAGUCAGCCUUCCCAAAGCAUUACUAUAAUUUACGUGAAGGAAAAUAAAACUAGAUUUAGGGGGUUAUUAUUCCCAAGACGUAAUCCACAUGUCAAUGAGCUAGAGUGCUCGAUUAACUUUAACCCGUAAUUUUAAGGUUCAAGAGCCAUUUUAAUAAUGUUGAAAGCCUUCUCUAAUUUUUUAAUUAGAUAUUUGAGAAAAUUUUAAAAAUUAUUUUUUAAAAUCUAGAAAUUAAUUUUUUUAUAAUUAUUAAAAAAAUAUUCUUUUAUAUACAUACCCCGCAUCAAAUAAUCCUCUAAUUUCUCAACUAUUUAUAUUUUAUAGUAUUUUCGAUUUUUUUAAAUUAUACAUUAAAUAAUUGCAUUUGCAUCUGAUUAAAAAAAAUUUUAAGGUUACGUUUGAUUUUAUAAAAAAAAGAAGGGAAAAAAUAUCAAAGAAAAAUAAGUUUUUAAAUUUUUAUAUAAAUAAAAAUAUUUAAAAAUAUAAUUGAAAUUAAUUAGAAAUUUAUAUAUUUGUAAAAAGUUUAAUAAAAAUAGUUUAUUGAUUUUGGAUAUAAUUUUUAAUUUUUAUAUUUUCUUUUAUUUUUAAUUUCAUAAUAUUUGAAGAACCGUGGUGCAGAUUAUAAAGGAUAGAAUAAAAUUAAAAAUUAAAAAUUAGAAAAUGAAAAAGGAAAACACCCAACAGAGCAUUCAUAAUUGGCACGAGGCCCACCACUUUCGGACUCAGAUUAUAAAAAGACCUUGAGAUGCCUAGCCCGAUUAUCAUGAUAAAACUGACGAUAAAAUAAUAUUAUGCUUCCAGUAAUAUAAUAUAAAAAUGCUUAAUUUUAUUAAAAAUUACGUUCAUGCCAUCGUAUCAAAUAUUUUGCCUUUUUAAUAAAUUAUAUACAAAUUACGAAUAUUUGAAAUAAUAAUAAUAAUUUUAUUAAUAUUAUAAAGAAAUAUGAAAAUUUUAUAAGCAUAGUUUAUAACCAGAGGGGUAAAACGGUCAUUUUGAUGCCAUGCGAAUAAAAAGUAUAAACUUCAUCACCAACCAGUCAUAUCAUUGUGUUCAUGGGGUCAAAGACUAUUCAGGGAAUACAAGGAACUCCUUCAGCUUUUCUUCCUUGAAUCUCCAUCUCUCUCACGUACGAUUUUGCUCCCUUGCUAUUUACAGUUGUUGUGUUGGAGUUAUCAUCCGUUUCUUCGCUACAGGUUCGUUGUGGAUGCUUCAAUUCAGAUAUUUUUAUCCUAAGUUUUAUUCUUAUAUAGGAGUUGUAGUGAAUGAAAUCCACCUUGUUUCCUAGAUUUGUGGGUUCUGAAUUUGUUUUCUCCAAUCUUGUUGGGAUGAUAACUGAUUUUGGUUUGUGGGUUUUUGUGGGGUUUGUGGCCUUUCAUUAAAUCAACUGAUUUUUUUAUUUUUUAUUUUGGUUUUUGUUUUGGGUUUUUGGUUGCUUUUUUUGUUGUUUGUUUGGGAGGUUGCGUAUGGGUUUUUAAGGGUUUUCGCAGAGAAUCAUGGGGUUGUUGCAUUUUGAAUUUGCUAGUUCUAAAUUUUUGUCAUGGGAUUUAUUUAUUUAUUUAUUUUAGUUUGCGUUCUGAUCCAUACUAUGGAAAUUUAAUUAUUCAAUUUAAAGUAUUUGCUCAUGAAUGAUGGGUUUUUCCCUUCUUGAUUCUGGUUUUCAAGAAAAAUGGUGAAGAGAAAGGAAAGCUGAUACUGAUGUUCUGUAAGAUACUGCUUCAUGCUACAUUGUUACUCAUUUAAGAACUGCUUCUUUUGGCAAUUGGCCCCAAAUUUCUUAAUCCAUCAGUAUUACCGGGUUUAAUCCCUUGCAUUGACAUUCUCUGCCAUUUGGGUGAGAAGAUUUUCCAUUUUAAAGUUUCAGUUUGUGGAUAAGUUCAUUCCCAUCUAGAAGUGUUUCUGAUUAGUUUUUGUUUUAUAUCACUAGGUCAUGUUAUUGGGUUUCCUGAAGAUACUUGCAGAAUACUGAUAGCAUUCUUCUCUGCAAAAAAGCCUUAUGUCUUGUAGAAAAAUUUAAUGCUUCAUAGUCAUUACAGAAUGUUGUGGCAGCUCCUUUUUGCUCUAUUUGGGACCUAAUGUGUGAUGCACUUCACAGGAAGAGAGUCCCUUUUGGGCUGGCAUGGAUCUUCUAUCAAGAAGAGGAAAAAAGACUGGAAAGCUGCUCCUUUGUGUUUAUUUUGGACCAUUUGAAAAGAAAAAAAUAUGAGAGCUUUUGAAAAUAUUGAGAAACGGGACCAAGCUAUCAAGCAAUCCUUCGUGUAUGUGUUUUGUGGGUGGGUUAGAGUGUACAUAGGAGAUAGCUCUUUAUUGUUAGACUUCAUUGAUUGGUUGAGCUCUAGGUGAGGUGGCAGGGUUGUUUUGUGUUCAUCUCUCAGUUUUGGUUUUUUCCUUCGUAUUUUGUUAGGCACUUCUAGUAUAUUUUCUUUGGCAAUCCAAAAAUGGUCAUUACAGAAUGAACUGUCCUGUUAGAUGGACAAUCAGGGUUGUUAGCAUGACAAAAUUAAUUUCUACUAAUGCCUGUGGUAAAGGAUAAAACUCACUUGCUUCUUGCUCUAUUCCCUUUCUUCUAAACACUGAUCGAAAUUUGGAGAGAUAUUUAUCUAGCUUUUAUAAAAACUGAUUCUAUGAUUUGGUAAAUUAAUUAUUGUAUGAUGCACAUUUAUCUUAUUAGUGUUUCAACAAAUUAUUGACAAGUUUCUCAUUUUCAUUAUAUUGUGAUUUUAGGUUUGAACCUGCUUCUAGAAGUGAAAGUUAACUUCAUGGAUGAUGGUCUUGGAAAGAUAGAGGUUUUCCCCGAUCAUUUUCAUGCUUCGAUGCCCAUUGCAGAGUCUGUUGAAAAGAAAAAUCAAUCUUUUUCUCAUUCAAGAACUGAUAACUCUUUUAGGUAUUUAUCCUUGGACAAGGGAAAAAAAAAAGAAAAAAAAGAUGAACCGCAUAACUUUGGGUUGAUUUUCUGUUUUGUUUCUUUCUUCUGCAUUAGUAUAGUUCCCAUAGUCGCUCGUGGGCUCGAAGAAAAUUGAGAAGUGCUGCAUCAAUGUUGAACUUGUUUAGCCUACGGGGGUUGCCAUGGGGAUCAAGCAGUGAUGAUCAGGAAAAGGUUGAUUGCAUAGUUUCUAUCAAGCAGGAAAAUUCCUAUUUUGUCUGACCAUCGCAAUGACUUUGGCUUUUCAGGUUGAGUUAACUGUUGCAGAAUUAGAAUCUCUUCGAACAGAACUUGCUAGUUUGGAAGAGAGAGAAGCUCACUUUAAAGCUCAGUAAGGGGGACUUGAUUCUUUACUUUGAUACUAUGAUUUACCGUUUCUCCUAUUAUACAUUUUAUGCAUGUAUCAUUUUCUCAUUCUUGUUUUUCUUAUUCGAUUAUGUCAUAGAUCUCAGGGCAAUAUGAAAAUAAUGUUAUGCUUGGGUUAACUAGUAAAAUCAGAAGAUUAUCAUUGAUAUAUGCUAACAUUAGGACCAUGUUGUCUUACUUAUUUGACAUGGUCUAUUUCUUUUUCUUUUUUAUUGAUCAAAUUUGUCUAUUCCUGUUCAAGUGUUUGUAAAUCUUAUCCAACGUUGAAAUUUCUUGGCCUUGAAAGUCACAUCCAUGAAGCCUUCUAUAAGUUGAGAAUGUUCAUAUGAAAUGUGGAAUGGGUGCGAAUUCUACUUUUCUAGCCCCUCAAUUAUUUUUCAUUUUUUAUUUCCUUGAGCUUUUCCACAAGGAAAGCCAACUCUAAACUCUUUAGAAAACCUAAAUGAAUGGAAAAAGUAUUUAAUACAAAAUUCUUCAAUUUUGUUUUACCUCUGCCAAUUUAAAGACUAUAAAUGGGUUCCUGGUCACUUUGUGUAUAGACCAUGAAAUCUGUUAUACUCAAAUCUGUUUUGGAAUUUUUUGAACUUGCAUUUGUGUGCAUUUUUCACUGUGCAUUGACCAUGAGAAUGCAUUUUCAGAUGACAAAUUUCAUUUUGUGCAUGCCAGUGCUGAAAUUCUCUUUUCCCACACAGGUUGGAACAUGUUGAUGAAAUUUUGCGGUCCGCACGUCUAUCUGGCUACUUGUACAUUCGAACUGUACUGACCUCCUCUACCUCUCUUGCUCUCACUUAGUACUAGUUUUUGGAUGCACUCUUUUACACGCAUUACUAGCCAAUUGAUGGUUUUCUUGUAUCUUUUCUUAUAGAGGUGGGCAGCUUUACCAGGAGAACCUCCUCCCAUUGAUGAUACUGAAGUUGACGACUGGCUUCCCCGCUUUGUUGUGCUUCAUGGCUCAUGUUUAUUCUUCUAUAUGCUGUCUACAGGUAAUAGAUUUUUUAUUUUAGGCUUCUCACAUUUGAUCCUUAUUGUCAUUGUUGGAAUCUAGAUUAUGUCCAUUAGUCAGCAGCCUUACAGUAUUUGGAGGUGAAGGACCUUCUUUUACCAGGCCUUUUCCGUUAGGUAGAAUCUCAAUUUGGAGGUCUGCACCUCAUGCAGAAAGGGAUCUGUCUAUCAAAUUUAUGAUACUCUGUCCACACUCAGCCUUCCUGUUACAUAAGGAUUAAGGACAUGCUAAUACAAAACUGUAUAAAAUCGUUACAAAGUUGCUUGCUGAUGAACUCAAAGAAUGUCAUGCAGAUUUGAGUCCUCAGGACUCUACCCUACUUUCUGAUGUUACUGAAGUCGGUCCUCUGCCAAACUUGACACGAGAAGACAAGGAGAUUCGAUAUUGCUUUUAUAUCUUAACUUCUCAUGGAUUGCGAUAUGAGUGCUCAAGUGUUUCAAAAGUACAGGUAUGUCCUAUAAUUUGAUGUUUACUCAAAGUCCUCUAGAAAACCUUCUAUAAAUGGUUCUGUCCUCCCUUGAAUCUCAAAAUCCAUAGCUGGCAACAUAAAUUUUUCAAAAUAUAGUUCACACAUUAAAAUGCACAGCAUGGCUUUAGAGUGUUUAUUCUGAAAGUGAGGACCCGUUUGGACACAUUAAAUGUGGACCUGUUUGGAAAUGGUUCUUAAAAAUAGUUUUUUGUUUGGUUGACUUUUGUUAGAAAAUGGUUUUUUUUUUUAGAAUUUGCUCUAAAAAUGGAUUUUUCAUGGAACAAAUUAGAGGUAUUUUUAGCAUUUUUUCGUAGAACUUUUUGAACAACAACUGAAAAAAUUGAGCAUAUUCUUGGAAGUUUUGCAUUGUACAUAAGUAUAUAGUACCUUUCAUGGAAAAUAAGCCGAGAAAAUUAUUUUUUAUAUUUGAGCCCCUGAAAAGAAUUCUGUUACUAAAAACAAUUAAGAACUGUUUUUCAGACUUGUUCUUAAAAAAUGUUUUUUAAAUACAGUUUUCACAAAUGUUGCCAAACGAGUCCUUAUAGUUUCUUAGUAAGCGAACGGGUGAAGAAGGUGAUUGAGCUUUGGUAGGGACUUGAACCAAAUCCGGGUGACUGCCUCCUGCAACAGCUAAGCUGACUGAUAAUUUUACAUUCUAUAUUUAUAACCUUUGGCCUUUUCAUGCUGAAUAAUAACUGGGGGUUUGAGUUUGAAUGUUAUCUAAUUAGGCUACACGUGUCUGACAAUGCACAAGCCCUUCAUUUUUGUUUUGUUGCCAUUUGAUUCGUACCAUGACAGUACAAAAUUGAGCCUUUGGUUUCAUCUAUUCUGUAAACCAUUCUAGUAGAUUAAGAUUGUGUUUGACAAUAAUUAUAGGAAGUGUUUCUAUCAUUUUUAAUACUUGAAAAAUAAAAAUUUUCAAGUAUUACAAAUGUUGGAAACACUUCUUAGAAUCACUACCAAAUGUACUCUAAACCAUUACCAGAAUCCAUAAAACUUAUUUGGGAGUUGGUUUCUAUGACCUUGAGAAAUUAUUUCAAAAUCUUUUAUAUGGAAUCUGAGAGGACCUAUUUGCUAACAUUUUGUAAAACAAUUCUAAAAAAUUAGGGAUUAUUUGGUAACUGUUCUUGAAAAUUGUUUUUGAACGUUGAACAAACUUUCCUUAUAAAACAUUUUUUGAGAAUUUUUUUCUAAAAACAGGUUAUUUUUUAUAAUAAUUUGAGGUGUUUCUAGUUGUUUUUUGUAAAGUAUUCUGACCAACAAUUGAAAAGAUUAAAAACACUUUGUUAACUUUUGUAUUGUACAUAACUAUAUAGUAUUAACUAUAUAGUAUUAGAGUCUGUUUGGUAGUGAUUAUAGAAAGUGUUUCUAACAUUUUUAACAUUUGAAAAUAUUUAUCAUUUAAGUGUUAAAAAAGUUAAAAACGUUUCUUUGAAUCACUACUAAACACACUCUUAGUAACUUUAAGGAAAAAGAAGUUGAGAAAACUGUUUUUUACAUUUGAGAAUUGUUUUCAAAAAGGUUAUAAAAAAUACCUAUAGUUUUCAAAACAAUCCUUCAAAGCUAUCAUAGGUUAUUUUCAAGGAUAAAAUUCUAUUUAUAAACUCAAAUAUAAAAAUUGUUUUAUAUGUUUUCAAUUGUUUCUUGGAACACUAGCACUUCAACUUUGUUCUGAAAAACCCUCUUUUUUCUAUAACAAAAUUUUCAAAAAAUUGCUUUUAAUUCAAAACCUCUCAAGCUUGUUUUUUAAGUUGGAAAACCGUAUCCUGUUUUCAACUACAAAAAAGGAAAGUGUUUUUAAUAAGAGUUUGCAAGCAGCCUGAAGCUCUUGAAAUAGUUGUGUUGUAGCCUGAGACAAUACAAAAAAGAAACAUCCACUCAAUAACAAUUCCUCUUCAUUUUGUAUUUCUGUUCAUUGGCUUCUUAGGUUUUGUGAUUGAUGGUAAAAGUCCUGAUUUCUUCUUUUCUCAGGUGGACUCUUGGCUGACGGCAUUAAGACUCGACUGCAAAAUCGAACCCGAACCCAAACCCGAACCCGAGAACAUAGCCCCUCAAUAAUUUAAGUAGCAUGUAACAUUAUCUAUACUUACCAGCAAGCUGUACAUAGCCUUGAAGGUCAAGAACUGAACCUUGCAUUUAGCCCCACAUUAAAUCUGAUAGACUAUUUGUUCAUUUUGUUUCUGUACAUAACCUGGCAGCAUUGUAAUUGAAUAGCAAUAAAUCUUGCCUUUCUGAUUUUCCGUGUUACAAUCGUUAUCAGACCUUUUACAGUGCGACGAACGACUUAAUUCGAAUGCUUUCUGAUUUUAGCUUUAUCCGCAGCGAAAGUUACAAUUUUUAAAGGAUAAUAAUAUUCAUGUUGUAAAAUUUUCAUUAAAUAUUAAAAAAAAAUUAAAAUAAUAUUUUUUAACUUUUGUAAACUCUUUUUUUUUUUUAAAAAAAAAAAAAAACUGGCUUUUAGAAAUUGAAUAUGGCUUAAAAACAAGUAUGCUAACCAUCAAUUUUUUUUAAAGGUAUCCAAACAUGAUUUCUGUCAAAUUUUUUUGAAGGGUUUUAGAUUUGCUUUUUUAAAAAUAACUUUUAUAUGUUGUGUUUUUAUUUUUAGUCAUUCUUUAUAUUUGUACAAUUAUUUUUUAAAACAUUCAUUAUGAAAUAAGAAAUAUUGUCAUGUUUUUUAUUUUGUAAAACAAAAAAUUGUUUUGGAAAACGAUUAUUAAAUAAAACUUUAAUAUCAUUUGGUUUUUAAAAAAUAAAAAAUUGCUUAUUUUAGCAUGCGAGCAAUUAUAAUAAAUAAAAAAAAAAACAUAUUCUACUUUAAAAUCAUUUCAAUACCAAAAUAAGAAAAAUAUUGUUCUUGAUUCAAAAUUGCUUCACAAGUCAUGGUUAAUAAUAUUUUGAAUUAACAACUCUUUUAAAAUUAUUUCUUAGUUUCACUUUAAAGAAAAAGUUUUUAGUUCCAAUAAAAGGUUAUUAUGGAAAUCUUUUACCAUAAAACGAAAAUAAGGAGAAAAAAAAAUAGAAAAAUGGUUAAAUAAUUUUGAAAAAAAUAUAAAUUUUCAACUAAUUUUAAAUAUUUAUUUUAUUUUUUUCAUGUUAAUCAUAUUUUUUUUUAAAUUAAAAAAAUUUAAGUGGUAUGUCGUUUUCUUAAUUUAAUAAAAAAAAUAAAAAUAUUUGAUUUUUUCUAUUUAAUUCAUUUUAUAUACACCAUAAAAGAGGAGAAGUAGUGAAGAAUAAGUAAAAGUGAAAUUUAAAGAAAUGUCAAGUUUAACUUUUUGUGUAUAAUUUUUUGUUUUUAAUUUAACUCUAAUAUGAAAAUAAAAUUUUAUAAAGUUUUAAGUAAUUUCUAUUCUUUGUAUGUGAAUUUUAGGUUGUUUUAUAAAUUUAAUUUUCUGUACCGUUGUCGGCAACUUCCUCUGUUAUCGACGUCGGACUCGAAGCCCCAAGUACAAUGCUGAAAGUUCUUUUUUGCGUCUUCCUUUAAACGCGCGUGUUCGAAAACCUAACCCUAGCUUGUUCGAAGGUCUCUUCUCCAUUCGCUUUCUCGUAUCGGUUUCUAUCCAUUUUUUCCGUGAAGCGGUGAGUUCUUUUCUGGAUCUGGAAUGUUUUGCUUUUGCUUUCGUUUUUGUUUCUAAGAAAGUGCAUCUGAGUUGAUUUUGUCUAAAAUCUCUGGCUAAUUUUGUUUGCUUUACGCGUGCUAAGGAAAUUGAAGUAGAAAUAUGUUGAGGAAAAAAGAGAGAGAGGAGAGAAAAAUAUUUGUGUUUAGAACGGUUUGAUCAUGAUAGUUAUUUUGUAAAAUUCAUUUUGCAUGUUUUUAUGUGGAAUUGGUUUUCCCAUUUAGUGUUUAGUGGCCUUUGAAUUCGAUUAUUUUGUUUGCUCUCAAUAUUUUCUUGAGAAUGCUGUUUGGUUGUGGCAUAAUUCUAAUAGCCCUCGAGAAUCCAAUUUUGAGACGUGAAAGGGUUGUUGAAUUUACUGUUAAUAUCAAACCAUGUAUGUCACUACUCUGGCUAUAAAUUUGUAGAAGAAGGUUCUUUCAGAGAUUUCUUCUUUUUUUGGCUAGCAAUUUUGCUUCAAUUCUCAGAUAAGAGGCUCUUUAAACAAAAUCAUUUUGUGCUCAGUUUUUUCCUUCUUGCAAAUAAUAGUUCCAGUGCUCUGCUGAGUUGCUUGAUAGUUCUAGUCAGUAUGUGCAAAUUUCCUAUUCCACUACAUUACAUUCUUUUGUACACUGCUAUGCGUUUGUUAAUUUGGUGUUGGUCUUGGUGAAAAGCAUGAGAGCUUUUGAAAGAGGAGGAGAAGAAAGAGAGACAUAAGAAUUGGGCGUCAACAAAUCUCCACUGUUAAUUCAGAACACUGAUGGACGUGAUCAAGACACAACAGAUAUCAUCAAGGCCGAUUGAGAAGGUAAUAGUCCAUCCUCUGGUGCUUCUGAGCAUUGUUGACAACUACAAUCGAGUUGCUAAAGACACUCAUAAACGAGUCAUUGGAGUUCUACUUGGUAGUUCUUUCAAAGGAACUGUUGAUGUGACUAACAGUUAUGCAGGUAUAAUCCUAAAUCUUCAGCUGCCCUUAUUUAUUCUGUUUAGAUCUGACAUUGUAUAAUCCCUUUGGUUGCUCAGAAAAUGUAUGAAAAUAAAAGAAGUGGAGAUUUUUAUUAUGUAGCAGAGAAUUGUUGAGUGCAUUAUAUACUUGUUUGUCUUCAUUUCAUGAUUUUCUUAUUUUAUUUUUAAUUUGGAACCACAGCCACAGAAAGGUAUAUUUAUGAUUUUCCUUUCUAUUCUUUGGGUUUCUUGAGUAUCAAACAGAUUAGGGUUUAUAAUACUGGCAUUGUUAAGAGGGGACAAAAAAAAUUGUCAAUUCUUAUGGCUUUUGCUAAAUGGUAGAGUGCUGUGUUUGCAGUGCCCUUUGAAGAAGAUGACAAGGACCCAAGUAUAUGUUUUCUUGACCACAACUACCACGAAUCAAUGUUUUCCAUGUUCAAGAGAAUAAAUGGUAUUAUUGGUUGUAAGUGAUGAGGUAUCUUUUACAAUUUUUAUGGACAAUGUUUUAUGGGAAUUUACAAUAAUUGUUUCAGCCAAGGAGCAUGUUGUUGGUUGGUAUAGCACAGGACCAAAACUGCGGGAGAAUGAUCUAGAUAUUCACAGACUAUUCCAUGAGUGAGCUCAUUAAUUUUUAUUCUUAUAAAUGAUGUGUUAAUGAAACUUAAUCUUAUUCUGGAAAAAACUGUUUUUCAACUGAUAUGUUUGUGAAGCUUCAUCUUAUUCUAGAGAAACAUUGUUUCAAUUUAUGUGUUAGUGAAACUAUAUCUUCUUCUUGAGAAGCAUUAUUGGGAUUUAUAAGUUAAUGAAUAAAUAAUCAUCUGUAAAAAAGAUAAAAUUGAAUAAACGAUUGCAUGAACUCAGAUCAAUUAAAUACUGGCAUUUUUAAUGCUUUGGUCUAAUGAAUUGGUUUCCCUUUCUUCUGGUCUGUAUGAUUGGUCUGUUCUCCGUAAUAUUGCAGGUAUGUCCCCAAUCCUGUUUUGGUCAUAAUUGAUGUCCAACCAAAAGAGCUAGGAAUUCCCACGAAGGCUUACUAUGCUGUUGAGGAGGUGAAAGAGGUACAACUAAGAAUAUCAUAAUGUUUUUUCAUUUAGCUGGUGCAUGAUUGAUCAGUUACAUCAUACCAAGCUUGAAUAUGGCCAGUUUACUGUUUAAGAAGCUCCACUGAUAUUACUUAGUGGUUUACUCUAAUGCUUGCUUAUGGUUACAGAAUGCCACUCAGAAAAGCCAGAAAGUUUUUGUCCACAUACCUUCUGAAAUUGCUGCUCAUGAAGUUGAGGAAAUUGGUAUGUCAAGCUGAAAAACUACUUAUUUUCCUCUUAGAAGUGUUCCUUUCCCUUUUCCUAUUCUGAACUCAAAGACACAAUUGAAUUUAUAUAUGGAUUGUUUAACUUUGAAUCUUUAAUGAUAAACUUCCUACAUCACCUGCCAAUAGGAGUGGAGCACUUGCUAAGGGAUGUGAAGGAUACAACCAUUAGCACUCUUGCAACUGAGGUCCUGUCUGUUUGAAGUUUCUUAUUUUAAUUUGUUGACAAUUUUUUAUUGAUAAUAGAAAUAGCUGAAAGUUGAAGCUUGUUUCAUGAGUGUCACAACUAUAUGAAGAAAAGGGAAGCAACGAUCACUAUUUCUCUUUUGUCCCAUACAGGUCACUGGAAAACUAGCAGCCUUGAAGGGUUUGGAUGCACGACUACGAGAAAUACGUGGUUAUCUUGAUGUUGUGGUUGAUGAGAAGCUUCCCCUAAAUCAUGAGAUUCUUUACCAUCUACAGGUAGAGUUUGCUUCAUUUUCUUUUGCACAUUUGUGUCCCUUCUGAUGCCCCUAGUUUUCUGCUUUAGAGCUCCCUUGAUCAUGUAUCUUGCUUUCUCAGUAUGGUAUAUGCCUGCCACUUAUGUUGUGUAUGCUUCCCUUUCGCCUUUGCAUGUGAGUGUAUAUUUUUCUGGAAGCAAUUGGGCUGUUUUUUCCUUUUCCCUCCCUUCCUGGGGGUGGUUUGUGUAGUUUGGGUUUUGGGAAAGAGGGAGUUUAGAAGCACAAAUUGAGUGUUUAAUUUAAUUUUUUUUUCUCCUUUUUGAUUGAAAGCUCACAAUACUGCAUUGGUAAUUUAGAAGCAUUUCCUAAGCAUUAACAUCCUCUCCAAUUGGUCUAAAUAGGAUCCCUUGCUCCUACAGUUCUACAUAGAUUGUACUCUUUCUGGAAGAGAUUAUGUGUGGUCUCAUAUUUCUUUUCAUUAUUUUUAGUUUUUUUUUUUUAAACAAAGGCCUAGUGAUUUAUUUGUGUGGAAGGGUGGAUUGGAAGGUGUCCUCGAUACUUUUAAGUAAAUGAGGAUAUCAAAGAAAAGCUACACUGCUUUUUCUUUUCCAUUUUUUUGGGAGUUCUUUUUUUUUUUUUGUGUAAAUUAUAGAGGAAGAUGUAUUUUAGUUUAUUAUGUGUUUCCAUAAGGUGUAAAACAAUGAUAAACCUAUGUACCAUGUUUUCUUUUUUAUCAUGUCAAAUUACACCACCAUGUUUCCAUAUCCUUUUGUUUUUUUUUGCAUUUUUGCAUUUUUCUUUUUAGGUUGUGUUAGACUCAGCAGCUAGCAUGUAUAUUAGAUGUAGAUUUUGAACUAACUCUUGGAGCAGCUCACUUUGUUUAGAGGUUUCCAUCUUAGACAACUUGAGUACAAGUAUGAUGGAGUACCUCUAAUCUUAUGGUGGAGAGAUCAUUCAAUGACACUCCUUUCUUGUGUGGCUCAUGGUUGAAGAGGGUCUAGGAGGGAUGAGGAUUUUGGAUCUGGGUGAGUUUUGGGCAAUUUUUGUUUUUCUUGGAAGUCCAUAUUGGCAAAGUAGAAAGCUUACUUUUCCAUUGCAUUUGGUUGGGAAUCCCUGAUGUGGUUUUGUGAGGAGAUCUCCUUUUCUCUCUCUUUCUCUCUCUUCCCUUGUAUACAAGCACAAGUAAUACAAGCCUAGUUUCUUUUUUUUUUUCUAUAUGACACAUGGGCUCUCCUCUGUGUGCGUGUGUAUGUGUAAAUCUUUCUAUUACUUAAUGCAAAGUAUAGUUUCUUGUCACCAAAAAAAGAAAAUGUUACGCUUCGAAUGUGUUCAAUGAUAAUUUUACACAAUUUCUUAAGAAAAUGCUUUGUUUAUGUAAAUCAAUACCAUAAUAAACUAAAGGUUGUGAUUAGUCUUGGACAAUGGUAAUUGUAUAUUGCUUCUUACAUGUGCUUGUGUUUUUUCUUCCUACCUUGUCCUUUCAUGUUCUUCUAUCCAAUGUUUUCAUUUUCUUCAAAAUUGUAGGAUGUAUUCAACUUGCUUCCAAAUCUCAAUGUAGCCGAGUUAAUCAAGGCUUUUGCAGGUAGGCCAAAGAUAGUAUAUUCUGCCUUCUGUAUCUUGAGCAUGUUGGCUAACCUUUCAGUUCUCUGAUCUAUAUGUGCCCGUUUCUCUGCAGUGAAAACAAAUGAUAUGAUGUUGGUUAUUUAUCUUUCAUCUCUCACCCGAAGCGUUAUAGCGCUCCACAACUUGAUCAAUAACAAGGUAAUAUACCCUCCUUGAACAAAGAAGUAUUUUCAUGCUUGAGUGGCAUAUUGGCCUGUAGUUAUCUGACUUUAAGUUGGAUAUCUAAAUCAAUGUUAUCAGAAUUUAUGAUGUCGGUUCCAAUACCUAAGUUGUUUCUUAGGCUUAGUCACUAGCAUUUUGGAAGGAAAAAUGUGAGGUUAAUACCACCUUACUACCAUGAACACCCGAAUGAUGUGAUGGUCAAACUUGAAAUUUGUUAGGGAUAUUAUCAUUUCAUACAAUAGCUGACACUUAAUCCAUUUUGCAUGAACUUGCCAUUGAAUUUAUGGAACACAUUGCCUCAAGUUGUAACUGUGGGCGUUUUAUGUUUGGUUCUCAAAAAAUUUGAAGGAAAAUGCCAAAAAAAAAAUAAAAAAAUAGGGAGGAAAACUAGAAGAAAAAUAAAAUAUAAACUUAAAAGUGAAUAAAUUGUUUUUAUAUAUUACUUUAAAGUCAUUUUACUUAUUUUAACUUUUUUAUAUAAAUAUUAAACAAUUUGAAAAUGUACAAGUUUUUAAGUAAUUUUAAUUAUAUUUAAUUUUUUAUGGGAAUCUCAAAUAUGAGAAAGUCAUUUUCCUUGAUAUUUUCUUUUUCUUUCUUUAAUACUUUCUGUGACCAAACAUAGUCUUGGCAUUUUUUCUUCUUUUCUUAAUACUUUCCGAGAACCAAACAUAAU
rnacentral:lncRNA from 1 species